ACCCAUGUUAGGUGGCCAGGCAGGUGCCUGACACUGCUGUCCUCUGGGGAGGUGUAAAAUUUCCAUUAGAAAAAUGCAAGGAGGCUGGCCCUGGUGGCACAAACCUUAAAUCCCAGCACUCAGGAUGGAGAGACCGGCAGAUCUCGGAGUUUCAGGCUAGUUAGAACUACGCAGUAAGACCCCGUCUCAAAAACAAACAAACGAGCAAGAAGACGAAAAAGGAGGAGGAAGAGAACUAAGGUUCUGCCCUCAACAGACCAUCUGUUAGGAAGGGACCUUAAAUCUCCAAGAAAGGAAGUCUCUAGAGAUAGGACAUUCCAUUCUGUUGGAGUUUAAAUUUGGUCCCAGAGCAACAAGACCUGCUUUGGAGCCUCCAAACCUCAGGACUCCACAGUUCUCAAAAAGACAGCCGAACGGCUUCCUGGAAUCCCGUGUGAGCUGUCAGCUCUGCAGCAGUGUAAAGAUGCUGGAGCAUCCUCCAACCGCAAGCCAAGGACCACAAAGCCUUGCGUAUCACCUUGGCUUUCUUACAGACACCCCUUCUGCCUGCCGGGUCCUUCAGAAGACUCCCCGGAGUCCCCUCUCUAUUCGGCUGCUUGCUGGUGAAAAGGUCAGCUUAGGAACUUUGGGAAGGUCAUGGAACACUUGCCUCUACAGAAGGGAGAGGCCAAUUAACAUUUCUCAGACCACAGGGCGGGAACUGACCUGCGGGUGGGGACACAUUCCUCAGGACGGACUGUUGUCCACCUUCAGACAAGGGAAGUCCUUGUCACCUCAUUCCCUAAAGACCACUCAGUUUAAAGGGUGCACUGUUCCGCCAAUCAUCUUGUGCCUAGUUGCUGAUGCUCUAUUCUGCCCCUGGAAGCCAUAUAAAAACUUGCCAACUGGGUGCUGGGGUUGCCACCUCUUGUUCGGGUCUGGGUUGACCCCAGUGCACUGGAACAAUAAAUUCCUCUUGCUUUUUGCACCUAU
rnacentral:lncRNA from 1 species